GAGUUAAUAUAACAAUCAAAACAGUAGGGCAUGGAACGGCAGAUCAACAUUGUUAAUUUUCGGAUAAACUUUCUGGAUUUUGCCAAGUGAAGAACUCCAAUGAUAUACAUGUAGGGGCAUGUGUCCAAAGCUGAUCCACAUCAUAACAUACUGAUUGGGAAUAAUGACAUAGUACCAAAAGAUGUGCUUAUACUGUAAUUAGCAGAAUUUCACAAAUGAACCUGGCAGAUCCUGGUGCAACCUUACCUUACCAUGUUUACAUCUAACCGUCAGUUUGAGCUGUAUGUGGGUGGUAACACGGACUAUAUACAUGUAUUGCCCAGUAAUUGUCUUGUGAUGGACCUUUUUAACAUAUCAAGUAUUUAAUUGAAGACUUAAGAGGUCAGUUUUCAUCAAAGAAUUUAAAAAUACAGUUUUAUUUAUAAGGGUGAAUAUGUGGUUAUAAUGGCAUUGAUGUAUAUCUUGUGUCUGUUUUUUAAUCAGCCUUUCAUCAAUAAUUAUGAAUAUUAAGCAUGAUAAAGUAUUUUAAGGGAAUAUAAUGAAGACAUGUUAUGUUGUUUCUGCACAAGCAUUUGAAUACAAGAAAUUCUAUGCUCACUCA